AUUGAACGCUGGCGGCAGGCCUAACACAUGCAAGUCGAGCGGAUGAAGGGAGCUUGCUCCUGGAUUCAGCGGCGGACGGGUGAGUAAUGCCUAGGAAUCUGCCUGGUAGUGGGGGAUAACGUCCGGAAACGGGCGCUAAUACCGCAUACGUCCUGCGGGAGCAAGUGGGGGAUCUUCGGACCUCACGCUAUCAGAUGAGCCUAGGUCGGAUUAGCUAGUUGGUGGGGUGAAGGCCUACCAAGGCGACGAUCCGUAACUGGUCUGAUAGGAUGAUCAGUCACACUGGAACUGAGACACGGUCCAGACUCCUACGGGAGGCAGCAGUGGGGAAUGGUGGACAAUGGGCGAAAGCCUGAUCCAGCGAUGCCGAGUGUGUGAAGAAGGUCUUCGGAUUGGAAAGCACUUUAAGUUGGGAGGAAGGGCAGUAAGUUAAUACCUUGCUGUUUUGACGUUACCAACAGAAUAAGCACCGGCUAACUUCGUG
rnacentral:rRNA from 1 species